rnacentral:rRNA from 1 species
UGCCAGCCGCCGCGGUAAGACAGAGGGUGCAAACGUUGUUCGGAAUUACUGGGCGUAAAGCGCGUGUAGGCGGCUCUGUAAGUCGGAUGUGAAAUCCCGUGGCUCAACCAUGGAAGUGCACCCGAAACUGCAGGGCUAGAGUAUCGGAGAGGAAGGUGGAAUGCUUGGUGUAGAGGUGAAAUUCGUAGAUAUCAAGCGGAACACCGGUGGCGAAGGCGGCUUUCUGGACGAUUACUGACGCUGAGACGCGAAAGCGUGGGUAGCAAACAGGAUUAGAUA